rnacentral:sRNA from 1 species
GCUGGACACGGUGGUGCACGCCUGUAAUCUCAGCAACUCGGGAGGCUGAGGCAGGAGGAUCAUGAGUGCAAAGCCAGCCUCAGCAAAGUUGAGCAAGUCAGUGAGACCCUGUCUCUA